UUAAGAUUCAAAGUGGGUCGCCGAUAAAACGCUACUUCGUGGAAGGAGGGAUCGUGCUUUUUGUUUCUCUUCCCUCUUUUUCCUUUUUCUUUUUCUUUUUUACGAACGUGUUACGCAAGUGUUACAAUCCACUACGGUUUCAUUCACAAAUCUUUUCAGUCGUUCGUCGCAACGUAAAGGAUAAUUUCUAUGAAGUAAAAAUCAACGAGAAGAGGGACGGGAAAGAGUUAAAACAUUUUCUUUUAUUUUCUGUCUUUCUUUUUUUCUUCGUUCGAAGAAGAUAAAGCGAAAGAAAUUUCUUUAAUGUUUAUUACUCGAGACAGAGACGACAAAGAGCCAAUCGGUCACGUGGGCUCUAUUACAAGGAAAACAAAAAGGAAUGUUCUUGAAAGAGGCGGGUUUAUGCGCGCGCAGCUAACACCACGUGACUAUACGAUUUCACGAAUUCCUUAGUAACGUAAGAGGUCACCAGAGAACGCUGGCGUCGCACGCGUCGCAUAGCCAACAAGUAUCGAGCAUUCAGUAUUCCUCCGACCGUCCACGUUGACGCAUCGCGAGGUCAACGGCUAUUCGUCUCUCUUUCUUUCUUUCUUUCUUAUUGUACAUGUGUGCACACAGGAUAGAUAGAUAUAUAGAUAUAUACAUCUACAUGUGUAUAUACAUAUAUAUGUAUAUACAUGUAUAUAUAUAUGUAUUAACGCGAGUUCUUUCUUUGUGCAAUAGAGUUAACAUUAUACGUUUCUACUAACCGUAUACGUAACAUCGAUCUGUGUGUCUCUCUUUCUCUCUCUUUCUGUCUCUCUCUCUCUCCUCCUCUCCUUCUCUCUCUCUCUCCUUCUCUCUCCUUCUUUCCGUCUAUUUUUUCAAUCUAUAUAAGUAUUAAAAAUCGACCGAUCAUGGUGAUUAAUAUGAGAUGAUCUCGACACGAACGUUAUUAUUCGAAUGUCGAGGUUAGGUCGAACAUCGUGGUACCGUAUCGAAGAAGAAGAUAUUUCAUUCAACGGAUUAAUUAUUUUCCUAUUUUACGUGGACCAGAAUACUUCGCCGUCUAAAUGCGCAUUAAAAUGUCGGAGUUCCCAGUGGAGGGGGGAGAAAACGGGGACAUGCAAGCGGUCAUGGAAAACUUUCAAAAAAAGAACAAUCUGGUCACUGGCCGGACCCAUGUUUCCCAUCAUCCACAAGUUACCACUUCAUCGCAGAUGCUGACGACGAAUCAGAGCCAGAGCAGCAGUAGCAGCAGUAGCUCGAGCAGGGUGGCCAAAUCCUCUCAGAGGAUCCUUACGUCGUCCUCGUCGAGUGAAAUGAAGGCGAGCUCUAUGAAGAGCGAUCUGACCGAAUUAAAACGUGGCAUUUCGGAGAUGAAAAAUAUUUCUACUAAUUUCUCACGAUUACGUAGCAGCAUGGAGAAUCUCGUUGACAGAGACGGAACCGGCGCCGAAGAAAAUGAUUUAACCGAGCCACUGGUAACAUUCCCAGAUCCUGACACACCUCCACCCUCUACGGGAACUGUCACCUUGACAGGAGGUUCGCCGUCUCAGCUGAGUUCUCUCAAUUCAUUGAACAAUCUUCAUAAUAUGAGCCCGCCGAUAAAUAUGCCGAGUAUAACGAAUAUGACGAGUUUACCUGCUGGUCAGGAAACUAUGAAAUUCGAACAGAAGAAAAUGACGAGUGCGUCCAAGACGAAGGUCGUUACCGAUGGAUUUAGUGCUGAAAAGGCAAUAGCCAAUAGUGCUGAAAUGAGAGCAUUACAAGCUGGUGACGUUUCUUAUAAAGAACAAAGUGCCGCGACCGCGGCAAGAGCUCGCGUAGAAUUGGACGGUGUAUCUGCGGAAAAGAGGGUAGCUGCCGCCAGAGAACAGCGAAGCUUGAAGGCUGGAGAUUUAUCGCAUCAAGAGAGCAACAACAUGGCAGCCUCGACUAUGAAGUUACAAAGUGAUUCAUUCAGUUCAGAAAAGAAGGCGAUGGCGGCACAACAACAACGUCAGACAGUAACUUCCUCGGGGAUUUAUAAUCACGAGAAACACAUGGCUUCGAGCUCGCAGUCGAGUAUAACGAUAGCAUCGAAAGGGGUGACAUCAAAAUCAUCGAUGAUUAGUGCAGCUAACGCGGUAAAUCAAUUGAUGAAUGGUAUGAGGCCAGCGGAGGAUGAACUUCUUUCGUUGCCAUUGGACGAUCUGGAUUUGUUAUGUUCCAAGUCAAAUCCGCAGGACGUUGAUCGUGCGAUUGCCAAGUACUGCGGUUUCUUGGAUAGUUUCGUCGAACGUUUGAAGGCCAACGAAGGAAAGAACGGAAAAGCGCCGUUGUUGUUGAACAGGGUUAACGAGAUCAUCAGAAAGGCUUGGGCAGUACCCACUCAUGGCCACGAACUUGGUUAUACAUUGUGUAACACCCUUAGAACGAGAGGUGGUCUAGAUUUGUUGAUGUCGAAUUGCAUUGCGAGCGAUCACGAGUUACAGUUUUCUUCGGCGAGGUUGUUGGAGCAAUGUUUGACCACUGAAAAUCGUGCCCACGUGGUCGAGCAUGGCCUUGAGAAGGUCGUCAACGUGGCUUGUGUAUGCACGAAGAAUGCCAACUCCGUGGAUCAUUCUAGAGUGGGUACCGGUAUCUUGGAACAUUUGUUCAAGCACAGUGAGGGUACCUGUAGCGACGUUAUCAGACUUGGUGGUUUGGACGCGGUCUUGUUCGAGUGUAGAAAGAACGACGUGGAGACGUUGAGACACUGUGCUGGGGCAUUAGCCAAUUUGUCACUUUACGGUGGUGCUGAAAAUCAAGAAGCUAUGAUCAAGAGGAAGGUACCCAUGUGGCUCUUCCCACUUGCCUUUCAUAACGACGACAAUAUAAAGUAUUACGCUUGCCUAGCGAUCGCAGUUUUAGUAGCCAAUAAAGAAAUCGAGGCGGCCGUUUUAAAAUCCGGUACGCUUGACUUAGUCGAGCCGUUCGUUACAUCACAUAAUCCUUACGAAUUCGCUAAAUCGAAUCUGGCCCAUGCCCAUGGACAAAGUAAAAAUUGGUUGGAGAGAUUAGUACCUGUGUUAAGUUCGAAAAGAGAGGAGGCCAGGAACCUCGCCGCUUUUCACUUUUGCAUGGAAGCUGGUAUCAAGAAACAACAAGGCAAUACCGAGAUAUUCCGUGCGAUAGGAGCGAUCGAACCAUUGAAGAAAGUCGCCAGUUGUCCAAAUGCAAUAGCCUCCAAAUACGCCGCUCAAGCUUUGCGUUUGAUAGGGGAAGAAAUACCACAUAAACUCAGUCAACAGGUACCACUUUGGUCUACGGAAGAUGUUAGAGAAUGGGUCAAACAAAUAGGCUUUGCCGAGUGUGCUACAAAUUUUGUUGAAAGUAGAGUGGACGGUGAUCUUUUGCUACAAUUGACCGAGGAGAAUCUCAAGGAGGACAUUGGUUUGACGAAUGGCAUUAGAAGGAGACGUUUUACACGGGAAUUACAAAAUUUGAAAAAAAUGGCAGAUUACAGUAGCAGGGAUACUGGAAAUUUAAAUAGUUUUUUGCAAUCGAUCGGUCAAGAAUUUUCGAUAUAUACUUAUAGUAUGCUCAACGCUGGCGUUGACAAAGAUUCUAUCAGGAAUCUGUCGGAGGAUCAAUUAUUGACCGAGUGUGGUAUAGCGAAUAGUAUACAUCGACUUAGGAUAUUGGAUGCCAUCAAGAACAUGCAACACAAUCAAUUCAGUUCUUGCGAAGACGAAUCACCGGAUAAAUCUUUAGAUGUAUUCGUUAGUUAUAGGAGAUCGAACGGAUCUCAGUUAGCUAGCUUACUCAAGGUUCAUUUGCAGCUACGUGGAUUUUCGGUCUUUAUCGACGUCGAAAGGUUAGAGGCCGGUAAAUUCGAUAAUAAUUUGUUACAAAGUAUAAGACAGGCCAAACACUUCCUCCUUGUGCUCACGCCCAAGGCUUUAGAAAGGUGUAUACAGGACAACGAGUGUAAAGACUGGGUCCAUAGGGAAAUUGUAGCUGCGUUGCAAUCGCAGUGUAACAUUAUUCCCAUCAUAGAUAAUUUUCAAUGGCCUGAACCCGAAGAUCUUCCUGAAGAUAUGCGAACGGUUUGUCACUUUAAUGGCGUACGUUGGAUUCAUGAUUAUCAAGAUGCUUGCGUAGACAAAUUAGAAAGGUUUAUGCGAGGUGAAAUUCCUGUAAGAUCUGAGUUGUCCGGAGGUAUACCAAGAAGUAUAGCAUCCAAGGACGUGACAGCACCUAGUACGCCAGGUAGCACAAAUAUGCGACAAGCACCAAAUUAUCAACGAAUGCAUAGCAAUGAAAGUAGAGGUAGCGACAAGGAUUCAACCGGUGGGCGAGACUGACUAGACGGCCCGCCCACAGCUAUUCCAAACAGCCGGGAUUAUGAAUCGCGAUAAGACAAUCACGAUUUAGAUUUAGAAAAUCGUCGAGUCCGUCCCGUUGGUUAAUGGGUUUGCCACCAACGUCACCUCGAUUGAAAUUUGUCCACACUCAUCCUGGAGGAAGUCCAGUACCUCGCAGACCACCACGACAUCCACCUUCUCCAUCUACACGAUCUAAAUCUCUCGAGCUUUUAGAUCAAGAUGAGAAGAAAUCUGUCUUGCCAGUCGUCAAACCUGAACCUGUGCCAAGGCCAAGAUCCAAAAGUUUGGAUGGUCUUUUGGAUGAGGAUGACGUAGUUCCGCACAUAAAGACUGAAGAAUUGGCUAAGGAUAACGAAGAUAAUGAUCAAGAUAACAAACAUCUAUGUACUAGCUGUAAUGACACAAAUCAAACAGAACAUUGCGAUUGUAUUACUGAUAACAUAAAUGUAUCUUGCAAAACACAACAAUCUGAACUAUCAAGUAAUAAGGAAGAAACAAAGGAUGAUAAAAAUCCAUUGCCUGUUCCACGUUUAAAAACUAAAGUCUCUAACUCGCAAUUAGAAAUUUCUAAAGUGUCCUCUAAGGAAGAAAAAAAUGAUAAAGCAUCUUCGUCCUUUGAAAGAAACAACGAUAAACAAGAAGACGAUUCAACGUUAUUGCCUAAACAAACAAAUAGAUGUACGAGUAUAGAUAAUGAUGAAGGAGAGUUCGAAUCGUCGUGUUUAAAGGAUGAUCGUGAGGUGACGAAUUCUCAUAAAAGGCAGCAAACCAUUGAGCUUUGUGAUAAUAGUGUAGAACCGAUACAGGAAAGACUAAUGACGAUAGUAAACGAUAAAUCAACGUUGCUCAAAGCAAAGAGCUGUGGCGCGGGAUUAGAUUCUAACGAAAGUGUUUCGUCCAAUGAUUACAAAGCUGAAAUAAAGGAACAAGGCUCGUUGCUAUCAUUGCCGGCAGGAGCAGAGCCAAAGAGAAAAAGAAAUUUCAUGGACAAGUGCGUAAAUAAGGUGCGGUCUUUCAUAAAGAGGUAAAUAAUCGUGACCUUGAAAAUUGUGCACAAGUGAUAUAAAGACUUAUUUUAAAUAAUUUUACAGUAUAUAUUUUUUUUCUUGGUUUUUGUUUUUUUUUUUUUCUUCCUUUUUUCUUUUCUCGUUGAGACCACACCGACGUUGUAUAUCUUUAUUCAUAAUUCCAUCAGAACGAUUCUAAUUGUUGAACAAUUUAUGUAUGUGUACAGAGAGAGAAAGACGAAGAGAGAGUAUAUUUAGAAAUAAAUAAAACAAAAUAAAAGCAGAAGAAAAAAAAGAUGAAAGAAGAAAAAAUGAUAUACGAAAUUUCCUGUAAAUAUGUUGCUGGUGGAAAUAUGAAUACAUUGAAGAGAUAAUAAAACUUUGUGUAUAAUGACAGACAGCAUGAAAGUAUAAUGUUGUGCCUAAGAUUAAUGUGUCUUCGUAGAAAUCAGAGCGACCACAUAAACGAUUUUUAUCUUUCUUAUUUUGAAGAAAUAAAAAUGUCGGUCUGCUUAAUUCAGGUGCCUUUUAUAUUUCAUUAAUGAAUUGUAUUAUAAAACACUUAAAAAUGUAGUUAGAUAAUAUUUUAAUUUGUAAUACUAUUUUCUAUAGACAGUUAUAUCUUUUUUGAUUAUCAACCGUACUCCUAUAACGAGAGCAAUAUUAUAAAUAUAAAGGUUGUUUUAAAUGCAGCUAACUCUGAAAAUAAAGGUGACAAAUUUAACGGUA